GGAAGAUCUUGGCUGUUACCUUUGUGGAACGGAUGCUCAAUGAUUCAAUUAAGGGCUGUAGAAACUUUUGAGCUCUAGAAUGGAUGCCUAUUAGCAGAUUUCAGCAUCUCCCAUGGUCAUGUGCUCUGCAGACUAAGAACGGACCAGUGGGGCUGGCUGGAAAGCUCUUCCACGGACGCGCUCUCUGGUUGCCUCCA
rnacentral:lncRNA from 1 species